CGCGGGGGGAGCAAGCGUUGUUCGGAAUCACUGGGCGUAAAGGGCGUGUAGGCGGUCUGGUAAGUGGAAUGUGAAAUCCCUCGGCUCACCCGAGGACCUGCAUCCCAUACUGCCAGGCUUGAGUACGGGAGAGGAUGAAGGAAUUCCUGGUGUAGCGGUGAAAUGCGUAGAUAUCAGGAGGAACACCGGUGGCGAAGGCGUUCAUCUGGCCCGAUACUGACGCUGAGGCGCGAAAGCUAGGGGAGCAAACGGG
rnacentral:rRNA from 1 species